AUGGGCAUCUGCGACCUCCCGGCAGACUGCCUCGCCCUCGUCGCCUCCCUGACCUCCCCCGGCGACGCCUGCAGGCUGGUGGCCACCACCCAGGCUCUCCGGGCGGCUGCCGACUUCGACGAGGUCUGGGGAAGCUUCCUCCCAGCCGACUGCGUCGACAUCCUCGCGCGGUGUAGUACUGCCGGCGAUGAGCACUGCCGGGAAGGCGAAACAAAGAAGGAGCUCUUCUGCCGACUCUGCGACUGCCCUGUCCUCCUGGAUGGCGGCAAGCUGAGCUUAUCGUUGGACAGGCGUAGCGGGGCCAAGAAGUACAUGGUACCAGCGAAAGCUCUGUGGUACGGGUGUUGUGGCUACCACUACGGAGGACUCGUCUGGUCACGCUGCCACCCUCACUCCAGGUUCCGCGAGGUGGCGGUUCUCUCGUACCUGUGCUGGGUGGACGCGGACGUGAUCUUGAACACCAAGAACCUCUCGGGCGUCGGUAGAGGCUAUGCGGCCUAUCUCAUAUACAGGGUGCAUUGGUUGCACGCAGACAGGGCUCAGAACCAAAACCAAGAAGAUGCAGGGUCCUCCUCGUCCGCGGCCACUUGCUAUCAUGAGUGCAACCAUCUCGUGCCUCAGAAGCACUCGCGGUCUCUGUUAUGGGACAGAGGCUGGGAACUCGAUGGAUCACCAUCGUCAUCAUCAUCGAUGUCGGCAGACACAAUGGAGAAAAAUCGAAGUCAGAAGCAGCGGCUGACGCCUGAUGGAGUGGGCAUGAGGAGCGAUGGACAAUGGAUAGAGCAAGAGAUUAACAUAGAGUUGGGCGAGCAGUGUCUAGAGGGGAAGGAGAGCAAUGUUUCCAUUGUGUUUAGAGGGUUCACAAGGUCACAUAGGUGCCAGAUUAUCAUAGAAGGGAUCGGGAUAAGGCCGAGAGGAAUGGGAAAGUUGAAAUCAUGGCUAACUUGA
rnacentral:rRNA from 1 species